rnacentral:tRNA from 1 species
UUGGUAGAAACCAAAAAGAGGUAUAUCACUGUUAAUGAUAAAAUUGAGUUUUAAACUCCUUCCAAG